rnacentral:misc_RNA from 1 species
UGACAUUAUGAAAAUAAUUGAGCAAUUGAACCAAAUUAUUUACUUAAAUAAACAAAAACUAUAUACUACUUUUCAUACACAUCCAAUCCUCUUCUCCAUAAACACCUUCAAUCAUCUAAAAAAAAAAAAUUAACUUCCAAACCCCAACUUAAUUUUGGUUUAGCAGCUUAAAACCGCUGGAUUUUAUCAGCCUUAACUACAGGAUUAGCCUUACAAAUCUCUUCCUUCCCUUUGAUUUUAAAAUCAAAGGUACAAUCAUGUUUCUCCGGGUAUCUAUGGGUCCCACAAAAGGUACUACCACAUCUGCACUUAAAUCCCACAAAUCCCACCUUCUUCCUACAGCUCAAACACCGAUUCGGCUGACUCCCGCCGAUCUCCGCCGUCGCCGCCUCAACAACCGGCCUCUCCGCAGCCGUCGAUGUAGUCGACGAACAGAAAUCAACUUUUCCGAUCGAUUCAAUUUGAGGUCUAGAUAUAACAAGUUUCUCCAUCGCUACUUUAGCCAUCGCAGCAUGAUCUUCCUUCAUCUUAAAGUCACGGUAACACUUUGAACAAAGUCCAUUCGUCGCCGCCGUACCAAAAAAUCCGCAACCGUUUGAACAGAGAAUCGGAUCCGCCGGCGGGAAGCUUGUUCCAUCGUUAAACUUGUUGCCUUCAGAACCCAUGAUUUUCUUCUGAUUUGAAAAAAUUGAACAGCCACAAUCGAAUUAAAA